CGCCGGCGACCGGCGCACGGGUGAGUAACACGUAUGCAACCUGCCCUCUUCAGGGGGACAACCUUCCGAAAGGGAGGCUAAUCCCGCGUAUAUCGGUUUCGGGCAUCCGAGAUCGAGGAAAGAUUCAUCGGAAGAGGAUGGGCAUGCGGCGCAUUAGCUAGACGGCGGGGUAACGGCCCACCGUGGCGACGAUGCGUAGGGGUUCUGAGAGGAAGGUCCCCCACACUGGUACUGAGACACGGACCAGACUCCUACGGAAGGCAGCAG
rnacentral:rRNA from 1 species